ensembl:snRNA U6 U6 spliceosomal RNA
GUGCUCACUUCAGCACCACAUAUACUAAAAUUAGAACGAUACAGAGAAGAUUACCAUGGCCCCUGCACAAGGAUGACAGGCAAAUUUGUGAAGCGUUCCAUAUUUUU